rnacentral:rRNA from 1 species
AAGGACAUGUGGAGCGCUUAGAAGUGAGAAUGCCGGUGUGAGUAGCGAAAGACGGGUGAGAAUCCCGUCCACCGAUUGACUAAGGUUUCCAGAGGAAGGCUCGUCCGCUCUGGGUUAGUCGGGUCCUAAGCUGAGGCCGACAGGCGUAGGCGAUGGAUAACAGGUUGAUAUUCCUGUACCACCUAUAAUCGUUUUAAUCGAUGGGGGGACGCAGUAGGAUAGGCGAAGCGUGCGAUUGGAUUGCACGUCUAAGCAGUAAGGCUGAGUAUUAGGCAAAUCCGGUACUCGUUAAGGCUGAGCUGUGAUGGGGAGAAGACAUUGUGUCUUCGAGUCGUUGAUUUCACACUGCCGAGAAAAGCCUCUAGAUAGAAAAUAGGUGCCCGUACCGCAAACCGACACAGGUAGUCAAGAUGAGAAUUCUAAGGUGAGCGAGCGAACUCUCGUUAAGGAACUCGGCAAAAUGACCCCGUAACUUCGGGAGAAGGGGUGCUCUUUAGGGUUAACGCCCAGAAGAGCCGCAGUGAAUAGGCCCAAGCGACUGUUUAUCAAAAACACAGGUCUCUGCUAAACCGUAAGGUGAUGUAUAGGGGCUGACGCCUGCCCGGUGCUGGAAGGUUAAGAGGAGUGGUUAGCUUCUGCGAAGCUACGAAUCGAAGCCCCAGUAAACGGCGGCCGUAACUAUAACGGUCCUAAGGUAGCGAAAUUCCUUGUCGGGUAAGUUCCGACCCGCACGAAAGGCGUAACGAUUUGGGCACUGUCUCAACGAGAGACUCGGUGAAAUCAUAGUACCUGUGAAGAUGCAGGUUACCCGCGACAGGACGGAAAGACCCCGUGGAGCUUUACUGUAGCCUGAUAUUGAAAUUCGGCACAGCUUGUACAGGAUAGGUAGGAGCCUUUGAAACGUGAGCGCUAGCUUACGUGGAGGCGCUGGUGGGAUACUACCCUAGCUGUGUUGGCUUUCUAACCCGCACCACUUAUCGUGGUGGGAGACAGUGUCAGGCGGGCAGUUUGACUGGGGCGGUCGCCUCCUAAAAGGUAACGGAGGCGCUCAAAGGUUUCCUCAGAAUGGUUGGAAAUCAUUCAUAGAGUGUAAAGGCAUAAGGGAGCUUGACUGCGAGACCUACAAGUCGAGCAGGGUCGAAAGACGGACUUAGUGAUCCGGUGGUUCCGCAUGGAAGGGCCAUCGCUCAACGGAUAAAAGCUACCCCGGGGAUAACAGGCUUAUCUCCCCCAAGAGUUCACAUCGACGGGGAGGUUUGGCACCUCGAUGUCGGCUCAUCGCAUCCUGGGGCUGUAGUCGGUCCCAAGGGUUGGGCUGUUCGCCCAUUAAAGCGGUACGCGAGCUGGGUUCAGAACGUCGUGAGACAGUUCGGUCCCUAUCCGUCGUGGGCGUAGGAAAUUUGAGAGGAGCUGUCCUUAGUACGAGAGGACCGGGAUGGACAUACCUCUGGUGUACCAGUUGUCGUGCCAACGGCAUAGCUGGGUAGCUAUGUGUGGACGGGAUAAGUGCUGAAAGCAUCUAAGCAUGAAGCCCCCCUCAAGAUGAGAUUUCCCAACUUCGGUUAUAAGAUC